UUCAAGCUUGUUCUCUCUAUUAUAUAGCAGCUUGGGAUUUAAUUUUUUUUCUUUUUUUUUUUUUUGGUGCAGUGAGAAACAGCUCUGCUUGUUUUCGAUUUGGUUGACAUAAUGUAAAGGCUUGUGAUCAAGAAUGAUCAGGAUCCAGCUAAAUCCAGGUUUUACGUUUUCCCCUCUUAAGAGAGUAAGGCUUCGACAUUUCCUGCCUGGGAAGUGGUGCAGUUUAUCUUUAAGGAGGAUAGAGAAAUAAGAAAUGAGUCUCACGUUGCAUGGGUGACAUCACUGGCUUUUGGCUCAGCGCUCUGUAUGCUCGGUCUGUAGGCUUCGGCCAAGGCUGCGGGGCUCGGUGUUUGAGCAAGGAAAGAUUCCCAGGUGUACGGAAGAUUGGAUUUGCAAUUAUUUGUAUUAAAAACGGUGAAAUGAGAUUUCUAAAGCUUGGGGACUCCAGCUCGCCUUCUGUUGCAUUUGAUCUCUACAAGAUGGAUGGCUAACGUGCCGCCGUGUUAGGAAAGCUGUGCACAACACAUCGCGGCGCCGGGGCCGGAGGGAGCUUUCCAGCUGCCGGGGGGGGGGGGGGGGGGGGGGGGGGGGGGGGGGGGGGGGGGGGGGGGGGGGGGGGGGGGGGGGGGG
rnacentral:lncRNA from 12 species